CCUGUCACACCCCAAUAAUCCCACAUCGGAUAGGAAAGGGGAUGUGAUUGGGUAUAUAAGAGACUUAGACACUAGUAAUAACAACUGGGCUUAAGCAUUUGGGUUGAUGGUUGGGCUUAAUGAGUUAUUAUUGCUAGUGGGCUGGGUCGUUACAUUUGGUAUCAGAGCCAGUUCACCAGCCGAAAAUGUGUGGCGAGUCUCGGCUGAGCUAGGGUUUGAAAGACAAGGUGAUAGCCUAUGUCGAAGUCUGUAUGACAAGGUGACAGGCUAUGCCAGGGUCUGGAUGACAAGGCUAGCGAGACGAGUCUCACAUCGCUGGU
rnacentral:lncRNA from 1 species